rnacentral:lncRNA from 1 species
UAUAUAUAUAUAUAUAUAUAUGUACGUAUAUCUUUAUAUCUUUAUUUUUAUAUCUUCCUUGGUCUCAGUGUAUAUAUAUAUAUAUAUAAAUGCAUAAAUAUAUGUAUAAAUAUGUAUGUAUGUAUGUAGGUAUGUAGGUAUGUAGGUAUGUAGGUAGGUAGGUAGGUGGAUAGGUAGGUAUCUGUGUGUGUGUGUGUGUGUAUGUAUAUAAAGUAGAGGCGCGUGUGCUGUGUGUGUAACUUUGCGUGACGGAAGGUUUAUAUGCCUGUGCGAUCACGUGUUAUGAGUUGUUUUACAUGUGUGUGUGUGUGAGUGUGUGUUGAUUAGUUUUGAAGUGUGUGAUGAUGUUGUUGUUGUUUAACCCCAGGUCAGUUCUAAUCCAGCAAGCCUAUGAUGAAAUACAUGGCAUCGCAACAAUUCCGUUUCUCUUCCUUUUCCUCAUCAGAUGUUCAUUACCAAUUUGCAUUCCUUCUUUUUUUUUAAGAAAAAAAAAAAACACACACACAAAAAAUAGCAAAAACGUUAAAGUGUGGUGGUUUGAAAGAAAUUUGGAUGCUAUUUCUAGCAGAUCAAGAGACCAUAUAGUGGCUUCCGGAAUGGGAAUGUAUUAGUCCUUCAACAUUCGGAGACCUCCAUCAAAUGUUCUGCUUAUCCAUUCCCAUUGUUUUAGAUUAAUUCCGGAUUAUCUCGUAGCUUUGAGAUUCUGACAAGAUUAUUGUUUUAUUUUAAGAAUGACAUUGUUGGGUAUGUGUGAGAGGCCAGAUUUGGCUGGUUUGAAUAUAAAACAAGUAGAAUAUUUGGACCCUGGGGGUAUGACUAGUUUAAAUACUAAAGGGAUACAUGGAUGUGGAUGUACAAUCCUUUGGCAUUCAGUUUAUUUCGCUGCCAAAUGUAAUCCUUAUUCACAUUGUUUGGAAUUUCUCUUCAUCUUCCAAAUUUUGACGUCGCGAUUGCAUAUUUUUAGGAUGAACACUGCUGAGGAGACAUCAGGGGCUGGAUUUGGUUAGUUUGAACACAAAAGAGGGAGAAUAUUUGCGCCGGAUAUGUCCACUUUAAGGUGUAUUGAAGUGCUUGUGUAUUCGUUUUUAUUCGCCGUGUCUGUGUGUCGAUGUUAAAUACUUUGUCAAAUGUGCGGACGUGUUAGCAUUUUUAUUAUCUUUAAGCGAUAUUUAAAAAAUUUUUAUCUUCUUCACGCUUUGUUAUCAUUUUUAUUGUUGUUGUUGUUGUUGUUGUUACUAAUGGCGGUGGUGCUGGUGCUAUUAUCGUUACUGUUGUUUUCUUAAAAAAAAAAUUAUUUAGUGACAUU